GCCCGGUUAGCAUAAAAGUAAUGCGAUUGUUUUGUAAUCAAAGGACGUAGGCGCGAUACCUUCACUGGGCU
rnacentral:tRNA from 1 species